rnacentral:misc_RNA from 1 species
GUUCAAUCGGAGUAUCUCCGCCGUACCAACUCUUUCUUCCCGCCUAUGAGUUCCGCGGAUUCUUGCUGGAACUCUUAUCAGUCUCUGGUCAACGAUUAUGUCCAAAACUUUGAUAUUCGGAGUUCAUGUGGGUUUCAAACAGCUUGGAUCUCUCAGGGUUGUAUGAAUAUCACAACCCGUUUCGAGUUCGAGUCUAAGGUAUCCCCUGCUGCGAUUACUAAUAUUGUUUCUUCCUGUAAUCAGUCUUUAGAG